AUGCACUGCACACGCGCGCGAGUGCACACCCACACACACUCGGACACACGCCGGCAGGCCCACAGACCACUCCCUUUGACCAGUGGACGAGAGGGUCCUGGACCUCGAGGCGGAUGCAGGCCUGGGCGUGGGCUCAGGGACAACUCCACAGCCCCUCAGGGUGGGCAGGCAGCCAGGGACCACACUUCUUUCCGCCACCCAGAAAUCAGCCCGCAGCCACGGCCCCCACCCCACUCUGGUGCCCCUCCAGGAGAGGGGGCACCCCCUACCCCGCCAGGCCGGAGUGGCGUAACCAGGAAGAAUUUGAUAAGUAGAAGGCCAGUCCACCAACUGCCACUGCAGUCACCACUUUGGGACAUUCCGGACACAGGGUGGUCUGUCCCCCCACCCCCAGCCUGGCGGCGCUGCUCAGGGAGGCCAGGCUGGCUGGCGGUGGCUCGGGGGGCUGGGGGACCACAGGCAGUGGACUCUUCUCCUUGUGCCCCAGCUCCCAGCAAGAUGGGGAAAGAAGACCCGGGGCCUCCCAGGGGCCCUGCUGCCCACCCCAGUCCUGGCCACAGCAUUGGAGGAGGGGCGAGGGGUGAGGGGCAGUCAUGCUUUAUGCUGUCAUCAGGCAGGGUGGGGCUCACAUUCCUCCGGGCCCUCCUCUGUUUACUUGAAGCUCAUCAGAGGAGGUCUCCAUCGUACUUGCUCCUCGGCCUGGUGCCAAGGACCCGUGGGAACCCUUUCCUCCCAUCCUCUAUGACUCCCUUCCCUUCAGGUCUCAGCUUGGCCGACACCUCCUCCAGGCAGUUCGCUCUGAUUACUCCCUCACACACUCUCACAGUGGCCCCUCGGCUCUGCUCCUCACCACACUGGGUCAUACCGCGGCAUGAUAAAUACCUGGCGUCAUCCUGUCCACCUCCCUGGCCGUCUUUAUCCCCCACUCCUCCCUCCCACUGGACCAGGGUGCAGGCUCCUCUUUGCCUACUGAAUUCAUCAUUUGGGCCUUCGUGUCCCAGUCUCCUGGUCUGUUUGGGGAUGGUGAUAGCUACCACCAGCUGA
rnacentral:lncRNA from 1 species